rnacentral:rRNA from 1 species
GACGAACGCUGGCGGCGUGCUUAACACAUGCAAGUCGAACGGAAAGGCCCUGCUUUUGUGGGGUGCUCGAGUGGCGAACGGGUGAGUAACACGUGAGUAACCUGCCCUUGACUUUGGGAUAACUUCAGGAAACUGGGGCUAAUACCGGAUAGGAGCUCCUGCUGCAUGGUGGGGGUUGGAAAGUUUCGGCGGUUGGGGAUGGACUCGCGGCUUAUCAGCUUGUUGGUGGGGUAGUGGCUUACCAAGGCUUUGACGGGUAGCCGGCCUGAGAGGGUGACCGGCCACAUUGGGCCUGAGAUACGGCCCAGACUCCUACGGGAGGCAGCAGUGGGGAAUAUUGCACAAUGGGCGGAAGCCUGAUGCAGCAACGCCGCGUGCGGGAUGACGGCCUUCGGGUUGUAAACCGCUUUCGCCUGUGACGCAGCGUGAGUGACGGUAAUGGGUAAAGAAGUACCGGCUAACUACGUG